ACUCCUACGGGAGGCAGCAGUGGGGAAUAUUGGACAAUGGGGGCAACCCUGAUCCAGCCAUGCCGCGUGAGUGAUGAAGGCCUUCGGGUUGUAAAGCUCUUUUGGUUGGGACGAUGAUGACGGUACCCGCAGAAUAAGCCCCGGCCAACUUCGUGCCAGCAGCCGCGGUAAGACGAAGGGGGCUAGCGUUGUUCGGAAUUACUGGGCGUAAAGCGAGUGUAGGUGGUUUUCCAAGUUGGAUGUGAAAGCCUUGAGCUCAACUCAAGAAAUGCAUUCAGGACUGGAUGACUAGAGGACCGGAGAGGAUAGUGGAAUUCCCAGUGUAGUGGUGAAAUACGUAGAGAUUGGGAAGAACACCAGUGGCGAAGGCGGCUAUCUGGACGGUUUCUGACACUAAGACUCGAAAGCGUGGGGAGCAAACAGGAUUAGAUACCCUGGUAG
rnacentral:rRNA from 1 species